rnacentral:lncRNA from 1 species
GGGUUCCAUUUGGGACUCAGAACCUUAUUAAUGUAUGCACUCUGCUCUCAAAGUCAACAUGUUGUACUUUCAAGUAUACAAGCUUAGUGGACAGAGACAAGGCUCCAGUCAGCACCUCUGAGGUGGGUGUGUUUUGUGUGUGAGUGUGUUGUGAUGUGUGUGUGUUGUGUUUGUUUGUUUGUUUGUUUGUUUGUGUGUGUGUGUGCGCAGACAGUACAAACAGGUGCUACGAUGUGGUAUGCUGGGGUGAAGGGAGGAGGAGGAGAGAAAGAGGAGGACGAAGAGGUGGAACAAGAGGAGGAUGAGGAGGAGGAGGAAAAUCAGAGGAGGAGGAAGAUCAGAGGAGGAGGAAAGUAGAAGCUGGAGGACGAGAGGAAGAGGUGCAGCCUUCAAAAGAGAAGAGACCCACACUAUUAAAAUAAACACCUGAAGAUAAAUGGGUUCUCUCCUCUCCAACAUCCUUCUAACCACCAAUAUUACCAACACUAAUAUCCUCUGAGCCCUGCAGUAUUAACUUACCGUCCAUAGGAGGUGCUCUGUGGAGACCAUAGUGGGUGUAAUGGUUUGUUAGGAGGCGCUCUGUGUAGACCAUAGUGGGUGUAAUGGUUUGUUAGGAGGCGCUCUGUGGAGACCAUAGUGGGUG